GGGGGCGGGCUACCAUGCAGUCGAGCGGUAAGGCCCUUCGGGGUACACGAGCGGCGAACGGGUGAGUAACACGUGAGCAACCUGCCCCUGACUCUGGGAUAAGCGGUGGAAACGCCGUCUAAUACCGGAUACGACCCGCCACCUCAUGGUGGAGGGUGGAAAGUUUUUCGGUCAGGGAUGGGCUCGCGGCCUAUCAGCUUGUUGGUGGGGUAACGGCCUACCAAGGCGAUUACGGGUAGCCGGCCUGAGAGGGCGACCGGCCACACUGGGACUGAGACACGGCCCAGACUCCUGCGGGAGGCAGCAGUGGGGAAUAUUGCGCAAUGGGCGAAAGCCUGACGCAGCGACGCCGCGUGGGGGAUGACGGCCUUCGGGUUGUAAACCUCUUUUACCACCAACGCAGGCUCGAAGUUCUCUUCGGGUUGACGGUAGGUGGGGAAUAAGGACCGGCUAACUACGUGCCAGCAGCCGCGGUAAUACGUAGGGUCCGAGCGUUGUCCGGAAUUAUUGGGCGUAAAGAGCUCGUAGGCGGCGUGUCUCGUCUGCUGUGAAAGACCGGGGCUUAACUCCGGUUCUGCAGUGGAUACGGGCAUGCUAGAGGUAGGUAGGGGAGACUGGAAUUCCUGGUGUAGCGGUGAAAUGCGCAGAUAUCAUGAGGAACACCAGGUGGCGAAGGCGGGUCUCUGGGCGUUACUUGACGCUGAGGAGCGAAAGCAUGGGGAGCGAACAGGAUUAGAUACCCUGGUAGUCCAUGCCGUAAACGUUGGGCGCUAGGUGUGGGAGACUUUCCACGGUUUCCGCGCCGUAGCUAACGCAUUACGCGCCCCCGCCUGGGGGAGUACGGCCGCUAAGGCUNAAAACUCAAAAGGAAUUGACGGGGGCCCGCACAAGCGGCGGAGCAUGUUGCUUAAUUCGACGCAACGCGAAGAACCUUACCAAGGUUUGACAUCACCCGUGGACUCGCAGAGAUGUGAGGUCAUUUAGUUGGCGGGUGACAGGUGGUGCAUGGCUGUCGUCAGCUCGUGUCGUGAGAUGUUGGGUUAAGUCCCGCAACGAGCGCAACCCUUGUUCCAUGUUGCCAGCACGUAAUGGUGGGGACUCAUGGGAGACUGCCGGGGUCAACUCGGAGGAAGGUGGGGAUGACGUCAAGUCAUCAUGCCCCUUAUGUCUUGGGCUGCAAACAUGCUACAAUGGCCGGUACAAUGGGCGUGCGAUACCGUAAGGUGGAGCGAAUCCCUAAAAGCCGGUCUCAGUUCGGAUUGGGGUCUGCAACUCGACCCCAUGAAGGUGGAGUCGCUAGUAAUCGCGGAUCAGCAACGCCGCGGUGAAUACGUUCCCGGGCCUCGUACACACCGCCCGUCACGUCAUGAAAGUCGGCAACACCCGAAACUUGCGGCCUAACCCCUUGUGGGAGGAGUGAGUGCAACGUGGAAG
rnacentral:rRNA from 1 species